UACGUAGGGGGCUAGCGUUGUCCGGAAUCAUUGGGCGUAAAGAGCGCGUAGGCGGCCAGACAAGUCCGGUGUGAAAGUCACAGGCUCAACCUGUGAAUGCCGCUGGAAACUGUUUGGCUAGAGUCCGGAAGGGGCGAGUGGAAUUCCUGGUGUAGCGGUGGAAUGCGCAGAGUAUCAGGAGGAACACCUAUAGCGAAGGCAGCUUGCUGGGACGUUACUGACGCUAAGGCGCGAAAGCGUGGGGAGCGAACAGG
rnacentral:rRNA from 1 species